rnacentral:rRNA from 1 species
UGGGGGAUAUUGCACAAUGGGCGAAAGCCUGAUGCAGCGACGCCGCGUGGGGGAUGAAGGCCUUCGGGUUGUAAACUUCUUUUGCUCUGAACAAGGCAUGCCUUUGGGGUGUGUUGAGUGUAGGGGUUGAUUAGCACCGGCUAACUACGUGCCAGCAGCCGCGGUGAUACGUAGGGUGCGAGCGUUGUCCGGAAUUAUUGGGCGUAAAGAGCUUGUAGGCGGUUUGUCGCGUCGAUAGUGCAAACUCAGUGCUUAACGCUGAGCCUGCUGUUGAUACGGGCAGACUAGAGGAAGGUGGGGGAGAAUGGAAUUCCCGGUGGAGCGGUGGAAUGCGCAGAUAUCGGGAGGAACACCGGUGGCGAAGGCGGUUCUCUGGGCCUUUCCUGACGCUGAGAAGCGAAAGCGUGGGGAGCGAACAGG